rnacentral:sRNA from 1 species
ACUUCAAUUUGAAAUUCAGUGCGAAAGCGAACGACAACGCAGACGGGUAGCCAGUGAGCGGGAGAGCGAGCGAGAAAGUGCUUUUUAAAGCAGCAUUAGCGAGCGGCGGCCGCUUUUCCACAUUUUGUGUUUUUUUUUUUUGUAUUCCUUUAAAAAAAAUUCGUUAGCUAAUUUUUUUUGAGUGUGAAGUGGCUUUGGUUUAUUUUUGUUUGCUAUCGCGUGCACAACAAUAAAGUUUAUCAACAAAUAAAAAGUCCGUUCUAAUGUAACUGUUUAUUGAAUUGCGGCGAAUUAGUUUGGCGUUAACAACAAAGCGAAAUACGCACAAGAACAAUAACAACGUCGAUCAAACAUAUUUUGUAAACGGGCUACGCGGUUAGCGGCAAACACAGCCGUAGACAUCAUCGUAGACGGGGAGUACGGCCAAGUGACAUCAUUAAAAGAAAAAAAGUGACGGAAAUUGUUGGCCGUGUGUCGUGGCCAAAAAUAAAUGCAAAAAAGACGAGAAAAGCAAAACAAAAAAACGCCAAUUCAAAAAAAAUAAGAAAAAGAAUUGUACUCCACAACAAGAAUAACAACAGCGGCGGCAGUAGCAGCAAGGCGAAGAAGAAGCGUGAAAACACGCACCAACUAGAACAAUA